rnacentral:rRNA from 1 species
ACGAACGCUGGCGGCGUGCUUCACACAUGCAAGUCGCACGGAAAGGCCCUGCUUUUGUGGGGUGCUCGAGUGGCGAACGGGUGAGUAACACGUGAGUAACCUGCCCUUGACUUUGGGAUAACUUCAGGAAACUGGGGCUAAUACCGGAUAGGGGCUCCUGCUGCAUGGUGGGGGUUGGAAAGUUUCGGCGGUUGGGGAUGGACUCGCGGCUUAUCAGCUUGCUGGUGGGGUAGUGGCUUACCAAGGCUUUGACGGGUAGCCGGCCUGAGAGGGUGACCGGCCACAUUGGGACUGAGAUACGGCCCAGACUCCUACGGGAGGCAGCAGUGGGGAAUAUUGCACAAUGGGCGGAAGCCUGAUGCAGCAACGCCGCGUGCGGGAUGACGGCCUUCGGGUUGUAAACCGCUUUCGCCUGUGACGAAGCGUGAGUGACGGUAAUGGGUAAAGAAGCACCGGCUAACUACGUG